ACGUAUAUGAGUUAUAAAUAAACAUCACUAUUGGUGUUUUAAAUUUUAUUUAUGGUUAAUUACAACUAUUGUCGAUAUGCAUUCGGCUACAGCUAGUAACAUAAUAAUCAAGUAGUUUCAGGAGAGAAUGGAACAAGAAUUCUCCUGGAGGAGGAGAAAGUGCAACUAUGCCCUUUAUGUAUUACGCACUAUUUGUUAUAUCAUGAUGGUUUAUAACUAAAGCAUGUAUUCAGUUGGUUCCAGAGCAUCAUUGCAACUUUUUCACCUAGUCUGCAUUAAAUAUAAUCAAAUUCAUGUUUCGUCAUCUGAAAAUACAAAUACUGAAAAGGUGAAUCAAUCAGCAUUUUCUUCCUUUUCAAAUAUAUCAUUUGAAACUUCAAGAACCUAAGGUUAUCUGUUCAACAGUGAAAGCAAGCAGAUUGCUGCUGUACCCAUUACUUCCAGCCUUCCUCACAUUCUUCCUCAGAGUUAUCCAUUUCAUGAAUAGUACUGCGAUAAACUCUACAUCAACUGCUGCGUGGCUGUUCUUGUGUCAAACAGUUGUGCACACCACACCAAAAUUUUGUCAGUCUUUUAUGCUUGUCUUUAUUGUAGUUUAAGUCUUCCCUAUUAAAAAUAAAAAUAUUUUUAUAUUUAUUCAGAUAUCAUGAG